rfam:Ruegeria sp. ZGT118 contig_2, whole genome shotgun sequence.
UGCCUGUCACAACGGCUUCCUGGCGUGGCAGGGGAAAUCUUAAUGGAGCG